UGAGCAAUCUGCCCUUCUCAUCGGAAUAAGCGUUGGAAACGACGUCUAAUGCCGAAUACGACCUCCUUUCGCAUGAUCGGAGGUGGAAAGCUCCGGCGGAGAAGGAUGAGCUCGCGGCCUAUCAGCUAGUUUGCGGGGUAAUGGCCCACCAAGGCGACGAUCAGUAGCUGGUCUGAGAGGAUGACCAGCCACACUGGGACUGAGACACGGCCCAGACUCCG
rnacentral:rRNA from 1 species